GGCGGACGGGUGAGUAACGCGUGGGUAACCUGCCUUAUACAGGGGGAUAACAGUCAGAAAUGGCUGCUAAUACCGCAUAAGCGCACAGAGCUGCAUGGCUCAGUGUGAAAAACUCCGGUGGUAUAGGAUGGACCCGCGUUGGAUUAGCUGGUUGGUGGGGUAACGGCCCACCAAGGCGACGAUCCAUAGCCGGCCUGAGAGGGUGAACGGCCACAUUGGGACUGAGACACGGCCCAGACUCCUACGGGAGGCAGCAGUGGGGAAUAUUGCACAAUGGGGGAAACCCUGAUGCAGCGACGCCGCGUGAAGGAAGAAGUAUCUCGGUAUGUAAACUUCUAUCAGCAGGGAAGAUAGUGACGGUACCUGACUAAGAAGCCCCGGCUAACUACGUGCCAGCAGCCGCGGUAAUACGUAGGGGGCAAGCGUUAUCCGGAUUUACUGGGUGUAAAGGGAGCGUAGACGGUGUGGCAAGUCUGAUGUGAAAGGCAUGGGCUCAACCUGUGGACUGCAUUGGAAACUGUCAUACUUGAGUGCCGGAGGGGUAAGCGGAAUUCCUAGUGUAGCGGUGAAAUGCGUAGAUAUUAGGAGGAACACCAGUGGCGAAGGCGGCUUACUGGACGGUAACUGACGUU
rnacentral:rRNA from 1 species